CUGCUGCCUCCCGUAGGAGUCUGGGCCGUGUCUCAGUCCCAGUGUGGGGGGCCUUCCUCUCAGAACCCCUACGCAUCGUCGCCACGGUGGGCCGUCACCCCGCCGUCUAGCUAAUGCGCCGCAUGCCCAUCCGCCACCGGAUCGCUCCUUUGGCCACCGGAGGAUGCCCUCCGGUGGCGUCACGGGGUAUUAGGCCGCGUUUCCGCGGGUUACCCCCUGUGGCGGCCAGGUUGCAUACGUGUUACUCACCCGUGCGCCGGUCGCCGGCGGG
rnacentral:rRNA from 1 species